AGUGAAAGAGAGUGUGUCUGCUAGUGAGAGAGAGAGUGGCUAGUGAGAGAGAGAGUGUGUCUGUCUGCUAGUGAGAGAGAGUGUGUCUGUCUGCUAGUGAGAGAGAGAGAGUGUGUCUGUCUGCUAGUGAGAGAGAGAGUGUGUCUGCUAGUGAGAGAGUGUGUCUGCUAGUGAGAGAGAGAGUGUGUCUGCCUGCUAGUGAGAGAGAGAGUGUGUCUGCUAGUGAGAGAG